rnacentral:SRP_RNA from 1 species
UCCGGACAUGGUGGUGCGUGCCUGUGGUUCCAGCUACUCGGGAGGCUGAGGCAGGAGGAUUGCUUGAGUCCAGGAGUUCUGGGCUGCAGCGAGCUAUGCCCAUUGGGUGCCCGCACUAAGUUCGGCAUCAAUAUGGUGACCCUGGGAGUGGGGUACCACCAGGUUGCCUAAAGGGGUGAACUGGCCCAGGUUGGAAACGGAGCAGGUCAAAACUCCUGUGCUGAUCAGUAGUGGGAUUGCACCUGUGAAUAGCUUCUGCACUCCAGCCUGGGUAACACAGUGANNNNN